rnacentral:rRNA from 1 species
UACGAAGGGGGCUAGCGUUGCUCGGAAUCACUGGGCGUAAAGCGCACGUAGGCGGCUUUCUAAGUCAGGGGUGAAAUCCUGGAGCUCAACUCCAGAACUGCCUUUGAUACUGGAGAGCUUGAGUCCGGAAGAGGUGAGUGGAACUCCGAGUGUAGAGGUGAAAUUCGUAGAUAUUCGGAAGAACACCAGUGGCGAAGGCGGCUCACUGGUCCGGUACUGACGCUGAUGUGCGAAAGCGUGGGGAGCAAACGGG